UGCAAGUCGAACGAACUCUGGUAUUGAUUGGUGCUUGCAUCAUGAUUUACAUUUGAGUGAGUGGCGAACUGGUGAGUAACACGUGGGAAACCUGCCCAGAAGCGGGGGAUAACACCUGGAAACAGAUGCUAAUACCGCAUAACAACUUGGACCGCAUGGUCCGAGUUUGAAAGAUGGCUUCGGCUAUCACUUUUGGAUGGUCCCGCGGCGUAUUAGCUAGAUGGUGGGGUAACGGCUCACCAUGGCAAUGAUACGUAGCCGACCUGAGAGGGUAAUCGGCCACAUUGGGACUGAGACACGGCCCAAACUCCUACGGGAGGCAGCAGUAGGGAAUCUUCCACAAUGGACGAAAGUCUGAUGGAGCAACGCCGCGUGAGUGAAGAAGGGUUUCGGCUCGUAAAACUCUGUUGUUAAAGAAGAACAUAUCUGAGAGUAACUGUUCAGGUAUUGACGGUAUUUAACCAGAAAGCCACGGCUAACUACGUGCCAGCAGCCGCGGUAAUACGUAGGUGGCAAGCGUUGUCCGGAUUUAUUGGGCGUAAAGCGAGCGCAGGCGGUUUUUUAAGUCUGAUGUGAAAGCCUUCGGCUCAACCGAAGAAGUGCAUCGGAAACUGGGAAACUUGAGUGCAGAAGAGGACAGUGGAACUCCAUGUGUAGCGGUGAAAUGCGUAGAUAUAUGGAAGAACACCAGUGGCGAAGGCGGCUGUCUGGUCUGUAACUGACGCUGAGGCUCGAAAGUAUGGGUAGCAAACAGGAUUAGAUACCCUGGUAGUCCAUACCGUAAACGAUGAAUGCUAAGUGUUGGAGGGUUUCCGCCCUUCAGUGCUGCAGCUAACGCAUUAAGCAUUCCGCCUGGGGAGUACGGCCGCAAGGCUGAAACUCAAAGGAAUUGACGGGGGCCCGCACAAGCGGUGGAGCAUGUGGUUUAAUUCGAAGCUACGCGAAGAACCUUACCAGGUCUUGACAUACUAUGCAAAUCUAAGAGAUUAGACGUUCCCUUCGGGGACAUGGAUACAGGUGGUGCAUGGUUGUCGUCAGCUCGUGUCGUGAGAUGUUGGGUUAAGUCCCGCAACGAGCGCAACCCUUAUUAUCAGUUGCCAGCAUUAAGUUGGGCACUCUGGUGAGACUGCCGGUGACAAACCGGAGGAAGGUGGGGAUGACGUCAAAUCAUCAUGCCCCUUAUGACCUGGGCUACACACGUGCUACAAUGGAUGGUACAACGAGUUGCGAACUCGCGAGAGUAAGCUAAUCUCUUAAAGCCAUUCUCAGUUCGGAUUGUAGGCUGCAACUCGCCUACAUGAAGUCGGAAUCGCUAGUAAUCGCGGAUCAGCAUGCCGCGGUGAAUACGUUCCCGGGCCUUGUACACACCGCCCGUCACACCAUGAGAGUUUGUAACACCCAAAGUCGGUGGGGUAACCUUUUAGGAA
rnacentral:rRNA from 1 species